UACGGAAGGCAGCAGUGGGGAAUAUUGCACAAUGGGCGAAAGCCUGAUGCAGCUAUGCCGCGUGUAUGAAGAAGGCCUUAGGGUUGUAAAGUACUUUCAUCGGGGAGGAAAAAAACAAAACUAAUAAUUUUAUUUCUUGACGUUACCCGAAAAAGAAGCACCGGCUAACUCCGUGCCAGCAGCCGCGGUAAUACGGAGGGUGCUAGCGUUAAUCAGAAUUACUGGGCGUAAAGAGCACGUAGGUGGUUUUUUUAAAGUCAGAUGUGAAAUCCCUGGGCUUAACCUAGGAACUGCAUUUUGAAACUGAAAUACUAGAGUAUCGUAGAGGGAGGUAGAAUUCUAGGUGUAGCGGUGAAAUGCGUAGAUAUCUGGAGGAAUACCUGUGGCGAAAGCGGCCUCCUAAACGAAUACUGACACUGAGGUGCGAAAGCUGGGGAGCAAACAGGGAUUAGAUACC
rnacentral:rRNA from 1 species